AUUGAACGCUGGCGGCAUGCUGUACACAUGCAAGUCGAACGGUAGAGGGGGCAACCCCUUGAGAGUGGCGAACGGGUGAGUAAUGCAUCGGAACGUGCCCAGUCGUGGGGAAUAACGCAGCGAAAGCUGUGCUAAUACCGCAUACGAUCUCUGGAUGAAAGCGGGGGACCGAAAGGCCUCGCGCGAUUGGAGCGGCCGAUGUCAGAUUAGGUAGUUGGUGGGGUAAAGGCUCACCAAGCCAACGACCUGUAGCUGGUCUGAGAGGACGACCAGCCACACUGGGACUGAGACACGGCCCAGACUCCUACGGGAGGCAGCAGUGGGGAAUUUUGGACAAUGGGCGCAAGCCUGAUCCAGCAAUGCCGCGUGCAGGAAGAAGGCCUUCGGGUUGUAAACUGCUUUUGUACGGAACGAAAAGGUCUGGGUUAAUACCCUGGGCACAUGACGGUACCGUAAGAAUAAGCACCGGCUAACUACGUGCCAGCCGCCGUAACAC
rnacentral:rRNA from 1 species